AGAGUUUGAUCCUGGCUCAGGAUGAACGCUAGCGGCAGGCUUAAUACAUGCAAGUCGAGGGGCAGCAUGGUGUAGCAAUACACUGAUGGCGACCGGCAAACGGGUGCGGAACGCGUACAGAACUUUCCUUAAGGCGGGGGAUAACCCAGAGAAAUUUGGACUAAUACCCCAUAGAAUAUUGAGAAGGCAUCUUUUUGAUA
rnacentral:rRNA from 1 species